AGUGCGCACGCUCCGUACUCCCCGACUUGCCGCAUUUCUUUCGCCUAUAAUUCCAUCAACCCCAAAUCAAUCCCGUCAAAAUAUUGCAAUAUUUUAACCAUCUCGGCCUAAUGAAUCCGCUUCCGCCAUCGCCCGCCGUGCACCGACCCCGCUACCUAACCUAACGAACGGAUUACGUCAAUACGCGUCGACUCUCGUGUGCAAGUCUAAUCGCUCGGACUGUCAAUGUUUACGUUUCUGCACGAAAACAUUUUCCACCUGAAAAAGUGCCAUAUUGAUCACAACUUCACGGAGUAUUCAGGUUUUAUUAAGGGUAUCGAAGUCUACACGCGAGUGAAACUUUACGAAUAUUAGUAUAAGUAAUACCACUGCUAUUAUGAUAUAAGUGCAAUUUUACUGCCAAAUGCAAUAAAUAGGUUAAUUAUUUGAGAGCGAGGUCCAGUUUUGUGUGAAAAGUGGAGAACAUAGCAGCUAAGAGAAAUGCCGGGUUUACCCCGGUAACUGAUAGGUAUAGUGUUAUUUUGACGAUCGCAACAACAGCUUCCGACGGAUUCACCUUGAUAAACGAUUACAACGCCGCCCCGCUGUUCGCCUCGGAAAACGCCUCCAGUGGUAAGCUUUCAGCUAACUCA